GGACGGCGCCGGGGCCGCUUGGCCCUCGCGGGGCCCCGUCGCGGCGCGGCGUCCGAGCAACGAGCGGGGAAACGGCUGCCGGGCUGCGCGGCCGGAGGGUGGCGGCGGGUCGGCUGGGCCUGCGGGCGCUCGGACGCGGGGACUCCCCGGGAACGGCGGGCGCGGAGAAACAUGGCACUCCCCACGCUGCCCCCUUCCUGGUGCAGCGGGAGACUCCUGGACGAGCAGGUAGCACGGCAGCGCCACCGAGAGCAGGAGGCCCGGCUUCGGCAGCAGUGGGAUGAGAACAGCCGCUACUUCAGGAUAUCCAACGCCUGCAGCUCCAAACAGGCGGAAUGGAGCUCCCAGGCCUCCUACCAGCGGAGCAUGCACGCCUAUCAGCGCGAGAAGAUGAAGGAGGAGAAGAGGAGGCAGCUGGCGGCCAGGCGGGAGAGACUCCAGCAGCUGCUGCUCGAGGAGCAGGACCUGCUGGCCAGAGAACUGGAGGAGCUGAGGCUGAGCAUGAACUUGAGGGAAAAAAGAAUUCGGGAGCAGCACAGGACUCUCAAGUCAGCCCGGGAAGAGCAAAGGAAGCUGAUUGCUGAGCAGCUUUUGUAUGAACACUGGAAAAAGAACAACCCUGUACUUCGAGAGAUUGAGUCGGACCUUCACAAGAAGCACGUGACAAGCUCUUGGGAAACACAGAAAGAAGAAAAAAAGCAGCAAGAAGCCGUGGAGGAGGAAGAGAACAAACGGUUUGAAAAUGAAUAUGAGACGGCCCGCAGGGAAGCACUGGGACGGAUGAAAGCAGAAGAGGAGAGGAGGCAGUUGGAGGAUAAACGCCAGGCGGAGGCGCUGCUGCAGCAGAUGGAGGAGCUGAAGGUGCAGGAGAUGGAGGCCACCAAACUGAAGAAGGAGCGGGAGAACCUGCUGAAGCAGCGGUGGGAGCUGGAGCGGCUGGCGGAAGAGAGGAAGCAGAUGGCAGCCCUCCGGCAGAAGGCGGAGCUGGGACGUUUUUUGAGACAUCAGUAUAACGUGCAACUCAACAGACGCGCGCAGCAGAUCCAGGAGGAGCUGGAGGCGGACAAGCGCAUCCUGCAGGCCCUCCUGGAGGAGGAGGAGGAGGCGCAGCGGGAGCACUCGGCGCGGCGGGAGCAGGCCCGGGCGGACGUGGCGUGGAUGCAGCAGGCCCUGGAGCAGCAGCUGCAGCGGGAGCGGGAGCAGGAGGCGGAGCUGCAGGUGCUGCUGAGGGAGGAAGCCAAGGAGAUGUGGGAAAAGAGAGAGGCCGAGUGGGCCCGCGAGAGGAGCGCACGGGACAGGCUGAUGGCCGAGGUCCUGACAGGGAGACAACAGCAAAUACAAGAAAAGAUUGAACAAAACCGACGGGCGCAAGAGGAAUCCCUAAGACACAGGGAGCAACUUAUUCAGAACCUGGAGGAGGCAAGAGAGUCAGCUCGUCGAGAGAAAGAGGAGAGUGAGGAACUGAAAUCCGCCAGGAAACAGGAGCUGGAAGCCCAGGUGGCAGAGCGCCAGCGGCAGGCCUGGGAAGCGGACCAGCAGGAGGCGGAGGAGGAGGAGGAGGCGAGGCAGGCGGAGCAGCUCACCAGUGCCCUGCUGCAGCAGGAGGCAAAGAUGAUGGCCAAGCAGGGAUACCGGCCCAAGCCCAAGGAGGGAGGUCCCGACUGCUAAGCUGUGUCCUGGGACCCUGUUUGGGGACAAAUAGCAAUCUUGGGAGAGUGUUGGCCACAGCUGCCUUAUGGGCAUCCCAGAAUUGCUUGGAACUGACUUCCUUGCCACUGGAAGCACAGAGCUGAGGUGCGAAGGCCUUUGAUAUGCAGCAGCAGACGGUGUGACAGCAUCCUGUUCUAGUGUUGGGGUCACUGGCAAUAGCUCAGCGAGCCUGUGCAGGUCCAGGUUACGUGGAUCAAGGGCUGGACAGACGAACACCGGCAGGAGGCCUUCCCUCGUCUCCGAGUCAAGAAAGGGGCUAGGAUCACACGCUGACCGUGCUGUCACGGCCUGUGCUGUUCAUGAGGAAUGCAAGGCUGUAAGUCCAGGCGGAGUUCCAAGUUGUGUCCACGGCAGGAUCCAGGUUCUGCUGUCUCGCCCUUAAUUGUCAGCCUCCAAUGACGCCCCCAGCCAGAGAUCUGAGGGAAGGCUCUUAAUGUUUAAAUCGCCGUUUAAAUGUGUUCUAUUGAAGACAAGCGUGUGGGGUAUUAGUGUAGUGGUCCCAGAAGGGUCCCGUCUUAUUUUCUGAAGAGAAGAACUGUGAACCCUGAGACCGUCUGGUGUGGUCCAGGGGUGCCUUCCGGAACGGGGACGAGCAAAGAGUCUUUGGGAAGCAUUUUGGUGGAAUUUCCAAUGCGCGCUGUGUGGUGGGAGGGGAGUGAGCUGUCACUGAGCCUCAAGGUCGCUUGCAUGGCUCGCCUUGUGAUGUGACACUGUGGACCUUCGGUGUCUUAGGAAGGUCUCGGGCACGUACAGCCUCCUGGGGUUUAUGUGCCAGAGGAAGGGGAGGCAUUGACCUGAGGAAAUGAGAUCAGACUCAGCCACAGACUUCUCUUCCCCGUGACAUCAGUGUGACAUAGUUCUAGAUUAAUCUCCACAAAUAGCUGCAAGAAGUUCCUGGCAGCACAUUUUUAUGACUUGCAUUUUUUUCGUGCCUUUCGGUCAAGUUUCAGUUUUCGUUAUAUUGUGUUCAAGAAUCCCUAUCAGUAAAUUAUAGCUAAUGACUGUUCCACGUUAUUAAAACCAGAGUUUAUUUAAAAAUCCUGAGUGGGAGGGCUGCAUCGCCUUUCACUCCCAUUGUGCUACAAAACAAAUGAAGCUGCAAACGGCAUCCUUAAUCUGUUUCUCAUUUUGUCUUGAGUUUCUUUGGAUAUGAUCCCCUGACACCACUUUCCAUGCAGGCUCAUUUAUUCCCAUUUCAGAUGUCCUUCAUUGUGAAAUAAAGUUGGUUUGACGGCAUCGC